rnacentral:rRNA from 1 species
AUUGAACGCUGGCGGCAUGCCUUACACAUGCAAGUCGAACGGUAACGCGGGGCAACCUGGCGACGAGUGGCGAACGGGUGAGUAAUGCAUCGGAACGUGCCCAGUAGUGGGGGAUAGCUCGACGAAAGUCGAAUUAAUACCGCAUACGACCUAAGGGUGAAAGGGGGGAUCGCAAGACCUCUCGCUAUUGGAGCGGCCGAUGUCAGAUUAGGUAGUUGGUAGGGUAAAAGCCUACCAAGCCUAUGAUCUGUAGCUGGUCUGAGAGGACGACCAGCCACACUGGGACUGAGACACGGCCCAGACUCCUACGGGAGGCAGCAGUGGGGAAUUUUGGACAAUGGGCGCAAGCCUGAUCCAGCCAUGCCGCGUGCGGGAAGAAGG